UUAAGUUCAGCGGGUAUUCCUACCUGAUCCGAGGUCAACUUUUCAGUGCAUACAGCGCUUUUACGGCUGGUGCCGCCCGCCAGACGCCCUAAACGAGGUGUAAAAUUACUACGCUCGGGGUCACAGCGAGCCCGCCGCUUGCUUUCAGGGCUGCCUCGCGGCAAAGGCCCCAACACCAGACCCGUACAGGCCCGAGGGUU
rnacentral:misc_RNA from 1 species